UACCCGCAGCACAAGUGGUGGUCAUUAUUAUUGGGCCUACAGCGUCCGUAGCUGGCCUGUUAGAUGCCUGGGUAAAUCGAUGCGCUCAACGUAUCGAAUUCCGGGUAGACCGGCAGGCUCGAGACCGGGAGAGGUGUAGGCUACUCGCGGGGUAGGGGUAAAAUCCUGUAAUCCUGCGGGGAGGACCAGUGGCGAAGGCGCUACACUAGAACGGCUCUGACAGUGAGGGACGAAGCCCUGGGGCGCAAACCGG
rnacentral:rRNA from 1 species